AUUGAACGCUGGCGGCAGGCUUAACACAUGCAAGUCGAGCGGAGAUGAGGUGCUUGCACCUUAUCUUAGCGGCGGACGGGUGAGUAAUGCUUAGGAAUCUGCCUAUUAGUGGGGGACAACAUUCCGAAAGGAAUGCUAAUACCGCAUACGUCCUACGGGAGAAAGCAGGGGAUCUUCGGACCUUGCGCUAAUAGAUGAGCCUAAGUCGGAUUAGCUAGUUGGUGGGGUAAAGGCCUACCAAGGCGACGGUCUGUAGCGGGUCUGAGAGGGUGGGCCGCCACACUGGGACUGAGACACGGCCCAGACUCCUACUGGGGGCAGCAAUGGGGAAUAUUGGGCAAUGGGGGGAACCCUGAUCCAGCCAUGCCGCGUGUGUGAAGAAGGCCUUAUGGUUGUAAGGCCCUUUAAGCGAGGAGGGGGCUACUGAGACUAAUACUCUUGGAUAGUGGACGUUACUCGCAGAAUAAGCACCGGCUAACUCUGUGCCAGCAGCCGCAGUAACAC
rnacentral:rRNA from 1 species